AAAAAAGAAGAGAAACAAUUAUACCAGAUAAUAGAAAAACUGAGCUGAAUCUCUUUCUUAAGUCCAGGAUACUUUGUUCUAAAAUUUGGUACA
ensembl:snoRNA small nucleolar RNA SNORA81